rnacentral:misc_RNA from 1 species
CAGUAUAAGAGUCCCACUCCUACUUCAAAAGUUGAUUCCUAUAUGCAAUUUGCUGAUAAAGGUAAUUAUGUAUUUUGGGCGUGUGCUUUUAUUUUUGUUUGGCUUUGGCAUUUGCUUACCUAAUUCAGUGGAAUAGGUAAUGGGUUUUUUAAAUCUUGCAUUUUUCUGUAUGUGGAUUUGACAGAGUGGUUCUAGAUUUCUAGAAUUUCUCUUCUUGGGUGUAUGAUAAAUCAUUACUAAGUUUCUUCUUAUUUGUUUGGCCCCAAUUAGAAAGUUACUCUUAACAUCUGUUAAGAAGUGAUAUGCUUUGAUGCUUCCUGGGUUCUGCGAUGGAUCUGCUCAUAAGUUGAGGUUGAUUUGAUGUGCAACAGCACUAGCAAAAAUAGAAAUAAUGGCGCCUAGAACUAAGCUAAAGUGGUAUGCCGUGGUUAAAAAGAUGCGGUUUGGAAGUUGUAAUCGUGGAUGCAAUUAGGUGUACAAUUUGAAGAUAGCUGGGAAAGGAUCAACUUUGGCUGUUCUGGUAGUCCUGGACAGUUGUUACUUGUUAGAAAGGGUUAUCAGGGCUCUUGAUUAUUGGUCAUUUGGUGUCAAAAACAAAGCUUAUGAAGUUAUGGGGGGUAUAUGAUGGCUCAAGAAAAAUCAAGGUUUGGCUUGGCAUAUGACUGUGGAAACGAAAAUCAGAUUAAUGUUCUCUCUUCUUGGGCCAUGGCCUGUUCUCAAGAGGAGUAAGUUUGGUGGUUCUACUUCAAUUUAUUUUGACUGUUGAAAUUGAGAGUUUUGGACACUGUAUAAAAAAAUUUUUUUAUGGUAAAUUUUGAAAUUAUGUGGCUGUCAGUUCCCACUUUUGUGUUGAUCUUGAUACAAUGACUGCAUCCUUUAGCUGAUUUUGAGGUUUAAACCUUUCUUAGUUUAAUGGUAGCAUUCUAUCAUUCUGCAAGCAGUAGGGAUUUGGCAUUUUUUUACUAAGGUUCUGAGACUAUUAUGUAAUGGCUAGGGGAAAGCUAGGAUCAAGAAUAAAUAGAAGCUGCUUAACUAUAUUGAUGACCAUGACUUUAGGAGUGGAUGUGUCUGACUUGAAAGUUUAUUUAAUAUGUCCAACUGCACGUUGUGGUGGGUUUUGACUCUUACUCAUAAAUUUUUAUUUUUUAAGCUUUAUGUCUUGAUCUUGGUGAAGCCUGGACUCUGUGAUAUGGCAAAGAAGUUAGAUUUCUGAGAUUUAUAUACAUGCUAUAUGAAUCACAGGGUUUCAUCUUUGUUAAAGCUAUUUGAUAAUCUUAUUGCUGAACUUGGUAGCUUAUUAGGCCCUUGGCCCUCAUUUUUUACUUCGUACUUUGGGUUGAAGAGGAGUUGGUGUCGAUCAUGGAAUAACUAGAUAUUGAAAUUUCGGAUCAAGUUAUAUUGGAGUAAAUUUCACCCAUCAUCACUGAACUUAGGGUAUUGUAUCAUUACAGUCCCUAAACUUCAAUUUGUAACGUAAAGCUCGGUAAACUUUAAUUUAAUCAACCAAAAACUCUUUCACCUAUUAUAACCAAUUCCCGGUUGCUUUACCAUAUAUGGCACUGGCAUCAUUUAAAAAAAAUUAAAAAACUUAAAAUCACCUUUAUACCCUCAAAUAAAAACCCUACCGAGGCCCCUCUCUGCUUCGCUAACCUCUCUUUCCCUUUGUGUUUUCCUCAUCACUUAAUCGCAUCUUUCAGUUCCCUACCUACUUCAUUGGCUCUAACUCCUCUCUCAUUCAAGUCAUAGGCUUGUCUUCCUCUCUUUGUUUUUUUUUCCCCCCAUUUCAUCUCGUCUUGGGUUUUUGAGAGUUUAGUGAAAUGGAGUAAUGGACACUAUUAGAUUAUUCAUCUGUUAGAUUUCUGGGUAUUGAAAUGGGCACUUUUCCUAAUAAAGCUAUUCUCUAAGACCUAAGUAACUGGUACCAAAGGCAAAAACAAAACCGAAGAGGUAAUCACGUGGAUAAUUGAAGGUAAAUAAUAAAAGAGACUGAACACAGACAAAAACAUAAAUUUCUCUACUCAAAAUUUCACUCAGAUCCCAUUCAUCAAAUCCAGAAAUUUCACUCUUCCAACGCAAGUUUACAGUAGAUCAUCCAAGUAAUUCCUCAAUUGGCCGACACACUGCUUUCUCUGUCCUUGUCCAUUUCCUUUCACCAUCCAAAAAUUACCAGAAUUUUCUGGAACCUGGCAUUUCACCAAUUCUGAAUUACAAAACCCAAAUCUCAUUUUCCCCAUUCAUUCACUCCCUUUCAAUCCAAUUCAACAAUCUCUCUCUUUCAACACAAAUGGGUGUUGAUUACUAUAACCUUCGAAAAAUUAAUUGAAGCGCCAAUGACAAUGACCUCAAAGGGACCUAGCGGCUGGCAAUGAAGUGGCAUCCCGACAAGAAUCCAUUAACAAGAAAGAAGUCAAAGCUAAGUUGAAGCAAAUUUCUUAAGCUUACGAUGUCCUCAGCGACUCACAGAAGCAUCAGAUAUUUGAUCUAUAUAGGGAAGAGGGGCUUAAGUCUUUUGAGUUUGGUGGGCCCGGUAAUGAGGGGAAGAAGUCGACGACCACUUACAACACGACGUGCGGGUUCAAUCGGCGGGAUGCGGACGAUAUUUUCAACGAGUUUUUCGGCGGAUCUGGUGGCGGUGGUACGGGUGGUGGGAGUGGGAAAAGUGGGUUUUAUAAGAACGGGGAGACGGGGAAUGAGGGGAACAGGAAGGCGGCGGCGAUUGAGAGCAAGUUGACGUGCAGUUUGGAGGAGCUCUAUAAAGGAGCUAGAAGGAAGAUGAGGAUUUCGCGUUCUGUUCCUGAUGAUUUCGGCAAGCCAAAGACUGUGGAGGAAAUCUUAAAGAUAGAUAUCAAACCGGGGUGGAAGAAGGGCACAAAAAUCACUUUCCCAGAGAAAGGCAACCAAGAACCUGGUGUUAUUCCAGCUGAUCUAAUCUUCGUGGUGGAUGAGAAGCCCCAUCCUGUUUUUAGGCGGGAUGGGAAUGAUCUGUUGGUCAAUCAGAAAAUCUCAUUACUAGAGGCUCUCACGGGGAAGACUGUUGAUUUAACAACUUUGGAUGGAAGGUAUCUCACGAUCCCAGUAACGGAUAUUAUCAAACCAGGCCAUGAGAUUGUGAUAUCGAAUGAAGGAAUGCCCAUCUCGAAAGAACCACACAAGAAAGGAAACCUUAAAAUAAAGUUUGAUGUCACAUUCCCAUCAAGUCUCACAGCAGAACAGAAAUCUGAUCUCAAGAGGGUCCUGGGCGGUGUUGAUAAGUAAAUAAGUCAUGAUUCAAGCUUGUGUUGCUGAUCAUCCAUCAAUACUAAUUAUAUAUUAGUUAAUUGGGUAUAAAUACAUUUGCAAUUUCCACUGUUCUAGAGCAAGAUUGUGCAUAGUAGGAAGAAAGAAGCAUUUUAAUCACUAUUAUUAGCUAUGUGGCUUGAGAAAAAACUAGCUAUUAUCAAAGUUGUGACAAGAUGACUUCUAAUUGAAAAUUGAAUACUAAUGACUAAUAAUUUUUAGUUCCUUUUGCUUUGAAGGGGGAAAAUCCUCUGUGUUAUGUACUCGAGAAAUGAUGACAUUUAAUGCAUUAACCUGUUUCUUGACUGUUCUUUCUCCCAAUUUUAACUUUUGAUUUUCUUUAUGUUACUGUUCUUCUUUUUGUUUUAGCAGUUUAAGGAAUAUAUACGAUUAAAAAAUUGAACAUGUCUUUUUAAUUUUGUGCUUGGAAAUGUUCUGAGUUGUCCUGAAUUUGCUGUAGGUAGCGUUUGAGUUGGACGGGAAUAAAUGCCCAAUUUGUAAUCCAUUUGUUUCAAUAAGUAGCACGCAUGAAAAUCAUAUAUAGUUCUGACGAUCGUGUAUCCAGGUAUGGUCCUAGCAUGGUACAUUCCUGUUUCAGCAGCACAAUGGCAAUGAGAUUUCUUUUGCGUAUUCCACCUUUUCGUUGCGAUAUGCUUCUUCUUUCUUUUUCCCUCUAUUAAUGACAUGGGGCUUGGUGGUAGACCUGAUCUUUGGCAUUGUUUGCUUGCUGGAUACAAUCAUAGUAUGAUAAUUGUCAAGCAAGAGGCCUACCAUUUUUAAUUUGUCAAAUUGUCUAUUGUGAACAAAUCAUUGGCAAUGACCAAAACGAGAUAGCUCUAUAUGUGGGAUCCACAUGUAGAGCUCACAUUAAUGUAAUGAAUUGGUUUUAAAUUUCUAUUUUAAGUGAAAAAUCAUAAACAUCUAACUCAAAAAUCUCAUCCUUGAACUGAUUAGAUUAUUGAUCAAACUUCUCAAUAUUGUAAAGCAAAUUUCUCUGUUUUCUUAAGAACCCACUCGGUAUGAAGUCUUUUAUUUAAUGUCAAUUAUUAUUUGAUGUACAAGAGAUAGAGGAGCAUAUAUUAAGCAACAAAAAUGAAACGAGGGCUAGUUUUGUCGCAACAAAAAGGCGAUGGUCAUCGUCCGUUAGCCUUAUUUUUCUUCUGCAGAAUAUCGUCAGUUGGUCACUAUGAUAGAUUUUGGGGCUACAGCUCCAAGCGUCAUAAAGCAUAAUUAGCAAAUUUAUAAUCAUAUCUUGUGUUGUUCAAUCUUGCUCUGCAGCUCUAACUUCUUGACCCCUACAACCUUGUCAACUUGUUUCCCUUUCUUCAUGAGUACAAAUGCUGGUAACGUGUUCGCCUCAAAUUGCAUAGCCACCAGCAACAACUUGUCCACAUCAAUCUUGAUGAAAUCAACAUCUGUGUAUGUUGCAGCAAACUCUUUGACGGCUGGAUCAAUGAAUCGACAAGGUCCACACCAUGUUGCAGUGAAUUGAAUCACCAGCUUGAACACCAGACGAUAAAGCCAUGAGAACUACAAAUUUAUAUAAGCAUUGAUCAUUGAAUUGGAGAUUAUUAUUAUCAAUUACCAGUUUGUUGUUUCCUUUGGAAGCUUCAAAAUAGGAUUUCCAUUGGUCUGUAGAACGGAUUUCCACAACCUCAGCUGCAGGCUUUGUGUAUGAAAAAUCAUUGCAGUGAUCAAAACUAAACCAGCUUGACAUGGUUCUUCCUCUUCGAAAAACUGGGAAACCGAACUCCAUUGCUGACAUAAGUAGCUUCGAGCUUUGUCUUUUGAAGUUUAUAAGAAAUGCUGUGGCUUGAAAAUAAGAACUUGGAGGCAAGGCUUUAUAUAAGGGUGGAGGUGGUGGGAAAUUUUGAGCUGUUUUCAGAGAAUAAGAUUCUUAAUUUCUUAGACGUGACCUUGCAAAUUUAUGGACCGUCAAAAGCUAAUGCGCAAAGAUUUGAGGCACAGAAGCUCAGCCCACCAACUUGAUUCAAUCUGUAUAUCAAUUUCAGUGGCAAUCCAUUGUAAAGCAAUCUUGUUCACCUCAUCAACACUAAUUUUGUAAUACCAGCAGCUUAUAUAUUCUCAAAUAACAGUUUAAGCAAAGCCGUCAGGGAA